CCUACGGGAGGCAGCAGUGGGGAAUAUUGCACAAUGGGGGAAACCCUGAUGCAGCGACGCCGCGUUGGAGGAAGAAGGUCUUCGGAUUGUAAACUCCUGUUGUUGAGGAAUGAUAAUGACGGUACUCAACAAGGAAGUGACGGCUAACUACGUGC
rnacentral:rRNA from 1 species